GAGGGGCAUCAGGAACAAUAGCAAUAUUGUUUGCUGGCGACCGGUGCACGGGUGCGUAACACGUAUGCAACCUACCUCAUACAGGGGCAUAGCCCAGAGAAAUCUGGAUUAAUUCCCCAUAAUAUAUAGAUAAGGCAUCUUAUUUAUAUUAAAGUUUCGGCGGUAUGAGAUGGGCAUGCGUCCAAUUAGCUAGUUGGUGAGGUAAAGGCUCACCAAGGCUACGAUUGGUAGGGGGUCUGAGAGGAUGAUCCCCCACACUGGUACUGAGACACGGACCAGACUCCUACGGGAGGCAGCAGUGAGGAAUAUUGCGCAAUGGAGGAAACUCUGACGCAGCCAUGCCGCGUGAAGGACGAAGGCCCUAUGGGUUGUAAACUUCUUUUGUACGGGAAUAAACCCUUGCUCGUGAGCGAGGUUGAAGGUACCGUAAGAAUAAGCACCGGCUAACUCCGUGCCAGCAGCCGCGGUAAUACGGAGGGUGCAAGCGUUAUCCGGAUUUAUUGGGUUUAAAGGGUCCGUAGGCGGAUCGUUAAGUCAGUGGUGAAAGCCCACAGCUCAACUGUGGAACUGCCAUUGAUACUGGCGAUCUUGAGUGCGUGUGAAGUUAGCGGAAUGUGUGGUGUAGCGGUGAAAUGCUUAGAUAUCACACAGAACACCAAUUGCGAAGGCAGCUGGCUAACACGCAACUGACGCUGAGGGACGAAAGUGUGGGGAUCAAACAGGAUUAGAUACCCUGGUAGUCCACACCGUAAACGAUGAUUACUAGAUUUUGGCCGCAAGGUCAGAGUCCAAGCGAAAGUGUUUAGUAAUCCACCUGGGGAGUACGUCCGCAAGGAUGAAACUCAAAGGAAUUGACGGGGGCCCGCACAAGCGGUGGAGCAUGUGGUUUAAUUCGAUGAUACGCGAGGAACCUUACCUGGGCUUGAAAGUAGUGACCGCUCCUGAAAGGGAGUUUUCCGCAGGACACGAAACUAGGUGCUGCAUGGCUGUCGUCAGCU
rnacentral:rRNA from 1 species